CACUCCUACGGGAGGCAGCAGUGGGGAAUUUUGGACCAUGGGCGAAAGCCUGAUCCAGCAAUGCCGCGUGAGUGAAGAAGGCCUUCGGGUUGUAAAGCUCUUUUGUCAGGGAAGAAACGGUGAAAGCUAAUAUCUUUUGCUAAUGACGGUACCUGAAGAAUAAGCACCGGCUAACUACGUGCCAGCAGCCGCGGUAAUACGUAGGGUGCAAGCGUUAAUCGGAAUUACUGGGCGUAAAGCGUGCGCAGGCGGUUUUGUAAGUCUGAUGUGAAAUCCCCGGGCUCAACCUGGGAAUUGCAUUGGAGACUGCAAGGCUAGAAUCUGGCAGAGGGGGGUAGAAUUCCACGUGUAGCAGUGAAAUGCGUAGAUAUGUGGAGGAACACCGAUGGCGAAGGCAGCCCCCUGGGUCAAGAUUGACGCUCAUGCACGAAAGCGUGGGGAGCAAACAGGAUUAGAAACCCCGGUAGUCCC
rnacentral:rRNA from 1 species